rnacentral:rRNA from 1 species
ACUCAAAGGAAUAGACGGGAACCCGCACAAGCGGUGGAGCAUGUGGUUUAAUUCGACGAUAAGCGUGGAACCUUACCAGGGUUUGACAUCCCGCGAAUUCUUGAGAAAUCGAGAAGUGCCCGCAAGGGAACGCGGUGACAGGUGCUGCAUGGUUGUCGUCAGCUCGUGUCGUGAGAUGUUGAGUUAAGUCUUUUAACGAGCGCAACCCUCAUCUCGUGUUACUUUUCACGAGAAACUGCCUCGGAUAACGAGGAGGAAGGUGAGGAUGACGUCAAAUCAGCAUGGCCCUUACACCCUGGGCUACACACGUGCUACAAUGGUCGGUACAAUGGGUCGCCAAGUCGCAAGACGGAGCUAAUCCCACCAAAGCCGGCCUCAGUUCGGAUUGGAGGCUGCAACUCGCCUCCAUGAAGCUGGAAUCGCUAGUAACCGCGCAUCAGCCAUGGUGCGGUGAAUACGUUCUCGGGUUUUGUACACACCGCCCGU